AAACCUGGCGGCAGGCUUACACAUGCAAGUCGAGCGCCCCGCAAGGGGAGCGGCAGACGGGUGAGUAACGCGUGGGAAUCUACCUUUUGCUACGGAAUAACUCAGAGAAACUUGUGCUAAUACCGUAUGUGCCCUUCGGGGGAAAGAUUUAUCGGCAAAGGAUGAGCCCGCGUUGGAUUAGCUAGUUGGUGGGGUAAAGGCCUACCAAGGCGACGAUCCAUAGCUGGUCUGAGAGGAUGAUCAGCCACACUGGGACUGAGACACGGCCCAGACUCCUACGGGAGGCAGCAGUGGGGAAUAUUGGACAAUGGGCGCAAGCCUGAUCCAGCCAUGCCGCGUGAGUGAUGACGGUCUUAGGAUUGUAAAGCUCUUUCACCGGUGAAGAUAAUGACGGUAACCGGAGAAGAAGCCCCGGCUAACUUCGUGCCAGCAGCCGCGGUAAU
rnacentral:rRNA from 1 species